CAGGGGUGGGAGGUAUGCAAGGAGAUAUGCAAAUAACAAACCAAGAAAGACCUGGAUAAUUCUGCUGUUUUGGAUUUACAAAAACACUUGUUAAAGCUUUGAAGAAUUUUGUGAGAAAAGACAAAGAAUCGAAAAGAAUUCUAGGUAGUUACUUGAAAGUACUAAAAACAAGGUUGCUAUAAAUAAAAGGAAUAUAAAAUUGAACUUCCCCCAAUAUUCAGCCAGACUGUUAAAAUUAGUGGUUUUUCAGGCAAUUGUUAUAUCUCAAAAGAGAUAGAUGGGCAGGCAUUGGAUGAAUAAAAUCAAGAUCCAUGGGGGGGGGAGCCAGUGAGAAUGGGCCUGCAGUUUGAUUAGUCUUUUCUUGAGAAGGUGAUCAUUUGGGAGGUUAUGAAAGGAUUGUAUUAGAUCUACUUGGCUCUUCCUUCAUUUGUCUGAAUGAGUUUUGCAUUGGAAAACCUUUGUUGUUGUUUUGGGGGGCUGCUAAGCACUCAGAGAAUAAACUUGCAGCACUUCAACAGGAGGGCAACUGGAGAAUAGUGAAACAUUGAAGGAUUCAGUUGCAGCAAUCACUGACCAAAGCAUUAACUGCCUUGAGUUUGUGUGCAAUGGUUUGUUGUUCCAGUUUUUCCUCAUUCUCCAUAGGGUUGUUUGAUGUCUAUAUCUUCCCUUUAAUUAAAUUGGGAUUGUUGUAUCUCCUGUUUUUAUCUGAGUCUGACCUUGGAAUUGGUUGCUGAGAUUAUGAACUCAAGAGAUUUAUGCAAUCCUCCCUUGCAGGCCUGGCUAUCCUCCCAGAAUUUAGCAUUGCUAUUGUGAAACACACCUAAAAGCGUAAUUUGAAAACUCUUAGAAAAUGUUUUUUUAAAUUGAAAAAUAUUGAAAGUAGUACAUAAUGCCUAAAAGUCAAUAUUCUUUCAAAUCCGUGCCAUUUGGGAAGCCGGGAAUUUAUGUUAACUAGUACUGCUUGCCCAUUGUGCCACCUGUCCCCAAAACUGUUGCAGAAAAGUGAUCCAAAACGUGAUCCUUAUUGAGUGCCUUAGUCUAUCAGAGUUCUCACAUAACUUUUUUCCCCUGCUCUAAACAUAGAACUUUAUUGUUUUAUGGUAUUUGGUAAAAGACAACAAGGAACACUAAAACACACACACACACACACACACACACACACACACACAACCUGCCUUGAUAAGUCAGGUUCCAAGACUGCCAUAGCGCCUGAUACAGAAGAAAGAAGAAUUAAAUCUUGAUAUCUCAACAAUAAUUAAGACACCAGUGACAGAGAUCUUAAAUAUAACACAGACACGAAUAUGCCGAUAAUAAUUUAAGCCAAAAUUAAACAUUCUAGCUUUGUUUAGCUAGAUAGCAUUUAGCUAUCUGAAUGAACCCAGCCCAAUCCUGCGAAGACUUGCCUAACCUGGGGACACAGACUUUAUGCUGCCGUGAUCUUCUUCAGUACUUGGAGAAAAAUUGACUGAGAAGGUGGUUUCGGUUUCCGCGCCCAUGGUAGCCGUGGAGUUUACCGACAGCCGGGCUCGACUGCCCCAACGGAGCUCCUGUUGUUCGAGUUGCGCAGGGUGCUGCCCCUUUCCCGCCCCACGGCCCCAUGCCGUCUUUCUUGACCGGGCAGUUGGCAGUUUGGUAGCUGAGCCUGGACUGUCCUAACGCUGCCAUUAUUAUUUGUAAUAGGGAGGGGCAUCGCAUAUCGUUUAUUUUCGCAAUGGGCUCGAGGCGAUUUUCUGGCGGUGCCAAUUGUAACAGGGCGACGCUCUCUCAUUUCUUCUCCAAGUAGUUUAUGGGCAGGGACGCUUAGGAAGCCCCUCCUGCCUCUCCUCGAGACCCCGUGCAGAGACAUGGACCAAGGCAAGCCUCCUUCCCCACCGGUUAACCUCAACGAGUUGCCGGAGGACUCGCCCCACGUGAGGGCCGCUAUUGUAGCGCUGAGGUGCAAAGCUGUGGAGGAGAACCUACGGGUUUGCCAGUCUGACCUUUCUGACGCCUGUCUGAUCCGCUUUUUGCGGUGUCGAGACUUCGACAGCAACCUGGCUUGGAAGGUAAAGGGAUCUCGGUACCCAACAGACCAACGGGAACGCGAGCACCUGCCCGCCCUCCCCGCUUCCUCCCCUCCUAACUCAAGACUGACGCGCGGGUUUCUUCAGGUCUUGAAAAACUAUCACAGAUGGAGAAGGGAAUGCCCAGAAAUAACUACAAAUCUACAUCCACCGUCUUAUCUUAGCCUGUUGCAAACAGGCCUCUUUGGAAUUUCGAAAAGGAGGGAUCCAAGUGGUUCUAGAGUGAUCUUUUAUAGAAUUGCACGAUGGGAUCCUAAGAUAUUUACAGCAGAUGAUCUCUUUCGUGUAAGUAUUAUGCUAUCUGAGCUUAUUGUAAGAGAACUAGACACCCAACGGAAUGGAACCAAGUCAAUCUUCGAUCUCCAAGGAUGGAAAUUUGCUCAUGCAUUUCAGAUUACUCCAGCAAUGAUCAAAAAAAUAGCAUUUAUACUCACAGAUGGUUUCCCACUAAAAGUUCGUGAAAUCCACUUGAUUAGAGAGCCUGUAAUUUUUUACCGUGUUUUUAAUCUAAUUAAGCAUUUCCUCCCUGAAAAAAUCAAAGCAAGGAUCCAUCUGCAUGGGAAUAACUUUGCACAUGGGCUCAAGAAACAUAUUCCAGCCAGCCUUCUCCCUGAAGAAUAUAAUGGUGAAGCGGGUCCUUUUGAAGAAUUUUCUAAAGAAUUGAUUGACAUUUUAAUGGAAUCUACUGACUAUCUUCAAAGUAUUUCUCUUCUUGCAUAGACCACUGACAUGGAGUAAACUAUAUCUGGAAGGCUCAGAAUAUUUGAUUAUUAAUGAGGGUUCCGGGGACAAUGGCAAUUUUCUGGAAGUUGUUUAUGGCAUUAUGAAGGCCACCCAACUGCAGAUGUCUCUAUGAAGCUUACUGUUUAAAAAGUAAGAAAACCAUAAAGCAGGAAAAAAGAACCACAGAUAUUCAGAAGUUCAUACUAUAUAGUACAAUAGGAAACAGGCAGAAACUAAUGCUUCAGACACUGUUGUUAAUCUUUCUUUUUACCAAAGAAGAACAGAUAAGCCACAUAAAGCCACAAUAUAUAAUUUUAUAUAUGAUUCUCCCUUCUUUUUAGAGAGUUGCAUAUGAUCAAACCAGUUUUUAUUAUUCAUUGACAGAUUUCUGUGGGACACAACUAUGUUUCACAUGGGAAGGAUGCAUCAUGCUACUGGCUGUCCUUAGUCUAAAAUGUACUUCCCCAUCUUCUCUCUUCUUUUCACAUGGAUAACCAAGAUAUGAUUCAAGAUGGCAUAUAACUAGUAUGUGAAAUCUGAGCUGCCAAAAUCUGGAUAUAGCAAUAGCAUUUAGACUUAUAUACUGCUUCAUGAUGCUUUAUGGCCCUCUCUAAGCGGGUUACAAAGUCAGCAUGUUGCCCCCAACAAUCUGGGUCCUCAUUUUUACCUACCUUGGAAGGAUUGAAGUCAACCUUCAUAUUGUUAGAUGGCAGCAAAAAGACUCAGAAAACAAACUAAGAGGUUACUCUGGGGACGGACGUCCAGGCUGCUGCUUUUAACAUGCUUUCCUGUAAUACAUAUAACGGCAUAAUUUAGUUUGUUCCAAUAGCUGAAAUCUAAUCUGUCCAGGUAAAGGCCAAUAAAGAGUGCUGUGGGUCAACUUAAGCAAAGUAGAUUUCUGUUAUUUUUGUGGGGGAAAUUUAAAAAUAAAAAUAUAUAUGCUUUUAGUAUUAUUAUGUAAUCAUAUUUUAUAUUUUAUAAUUAUCAUUGUAUAAUCAAUUACCUGAGUAGAUGCUUCAAGUAUAUGGGGAAAAAUACAAGCCUCAGGUGGAGGAAGGGGGGAGAACAGGAGUUACCAUGGGGCCCAGUAUGAGUCACCAUCUAGGAAUUGUUUUUAAGUACCUUCUGGUACCUGGUACCCUUACUGGAUCUAACAGGUGUAGAAGAUGGGAGACAUCUCUCCUCUAGAAUAGAUAUAGGAUAGUAGGGGAGGGAUCUUAUUAGUAUAAUGUAUUCUGUUUAGGCGCUUCUGAUAGAUUGUAACCUCC